GCUCCGUUAGCUUAAUUGGUUAGAGCGGCAGGUUUAUACCCUGUUUAGUGCCUGAUAAGCACGAGGUUGGGGGUUCAAGUCCCUCACGGAGUA
rnacentral:tRNA from 1 species